UGCGGAAUGAUUUUUUAAUUUUGUCGCUUUGUGGAUCCAGAAGUUUAUUUUUAGAUUGCUUAUGUUAGUGGUUAUUUCUUUUGUGGUUUGCGUUUGGUUGCAAAAUUAGACUCAUUUGGGGACUAUUCCGGUUAAAAAUGGAUUUGCAAGCUGAUCUUAUUGGUAUUUUGAUCGAUUGGAUUCAAGCAGAUUAGACGUGUUAGAGGUUCCUUGCAAGGGCUUAAAUUUGACAUUCGAAAGGAGGAACCUCUUGGGCGGUUUUGGUCUUGAUUACUUUCAAAUGCUCAAGGUUUGAAUUAGGAAACAUCACAAAAGAAGAGACAAUUCGGCAAACUAAUGAUGUGCAUUUUAAAAUGAUAAGAAUAGAGGACAAUCUGUUUGCCAAUAUUCAACAUUUAAGGGAAAAAAAUGCUUUGUAGAAAUAAUGAUGAACCAUGUCCGUGAUAAACAAUAAUUAAACCGAGAUGGUUCGUAUUUGGUCUUUCAUUCGUAUUAAACGGAACCCUCAACCUUUCUUCUUGGUUGGGGAAACUUGGCCUGCAUGUACUGUUUCAAUAGUAUCAGCAGGGAAUUUUUCUUCUCAGCAACGCUUGGCUUGUUUAUAUGGCUAGGAAUGGCUCUCUGGAGGGAUACGGUAGCCUACGGUUACAAUUCGCCAAUGACUGCCUUAAAGGAAUUAGUAUUUGGACCAUGAUACAGGUACUGCCCAUGGCGUAUUACUGCAACAUUACAUGGAUUAUUGUUUGUAGGCCAUUAUUUUUGCCAGAUUGUGGUCCAGUACUUCAGGUUGACAUUGGGAACAUGCUAUUCCAUUCUGGCCUUAUAGUUGCUUUGUGGAAAGCUGCAUGGAGCCAAAGAUGUUGGAGACCCUAUGUCGAGUGAGUUUGCUUCUGUGGCAGUUAUUUACCAAUGUAACUGGUUGCCUUCAGCAUGAAUAUUGUGAACAACUGAUAUAAAAUUUUGUAAUAUAGUAAUUUAAUAAUUUGCUAUGACUUUAUGAAUGGUUAUUUUCGAACAGUGCACUCUUCA